AGCAGCCGCGGUAAUUCCAGCUCCAAUAGCGUAUAUUAAAGUUGUUGCAGUUAAAAAGCUCGUAGUUGAAUUUCGGGAUUGACGUGAUGGUCGUGCCUUAAGGGGUAUGAACUGUCGCAGUUGAUUUCUCACCUUCUGGAGAAGCAUGAUGUCCUUAAUUGGGUGUCAUGUGGAACCAGGACCUUUACCUUGAAAAAAUUAGAGUGUUUAAAGCAGGCAUUUUGCUCGAAUACAUUAGCAUGGAAUAAUAGAAUAGGACGGCAUGGUUCUAUUUUGUUGGUUUCUAGGAUCACCGUAAUGAUUAAUAGGGAUAGUUGGGGGCAUUAGUAUUCAAUUGUCAGAGGUGAAAUUCUUGGAUUUAUUGAAGACUAACUACUGCGAAAGCAUUUGCCAAGGAUGUUUUCAUUAAUCAAGAACGAAAGUUAGGGGAUCGAAGACGAUCAGAUACCGUCGUAGUCUUAACCAUAAACUAUGCCGACUAGGAAUCAGACGAUGUUAAUUUUUUAAUGACUCGUUUGGCACCUUACG
rnacentral:misc_RNA from 1 species